rnacentral:RNase_P_RNA from 1 species
GGAACGGGCCGGAGAUGAUCGCUGUUUCCUUCCGGAUUCAGAGGAAAGUCCGGACACCGCACGGCAGCAUGCCCGGUGAAAGUCGGGGCACUCCAUCGUAAUGGCGGGGUGACGGAAAGUGUCGCAGAAAAUAUACCGCCCUUCGAAGCCCUCCGGGCGAAGAGGGGUAAGGGUGAAAUGGCGAGGUAAGAGCUCACCGCCCCGAGGGUAACCGAGGGGGCACGAUAAACCCCAUGCGGUGCAAGACAUAACAGGGCAAACGGACAGCCGGUCCGGUUUCGCGGUUUCGGCCGCGAUAUGUGUCCGGGUAUUAGUCGCACCCCGCUUCGGCGGGGAGGGGGCGCCUCUUAGGGGGAGUCCGCUAGAUAAAUGAUCGUCCGCGCGGUUCGACUACGGACCGGGCGAACAGAAUCCGGCUUACGGUGGCCCGUUCCAAAU